rnacentral:tRNA from 1 species
GCCUGGGUGGCUCAGUGGUUGAGCAUCUGCCUUUGGCUCAGGGUGUGAUCCUGCGGUCCUGGGAUCAAGUCCCACAUCAGGCU